GGGCCCGUAGCUCAGCUUGGUAGAGCAACAGAGCAAAUGUUGGGACUCUUAUCAAGUAGGAGAGAUCUGUGGGUCGCGCGUUCGAAUCGCGUCGGGCCCG
rnacentral:tRNA from 1 species